ensembl:lncRNA
CCACAGUGAGCACAGCACUGUGACAUGGCCUUUAAGGUUCUGAGUCCUCGUAUCAGCUGUGCACUUUCAGCUGUACUGCAGAGGCAGUAUAAAUGCUGACAACAGCAGAAAAGUAUCAUAGAAUCAUAUCAUAGAAUCAUAUCCUGAGUUGGAAGGGACCCACAAGGAUCAUCAAGUUGAGCUCCCAGCUCCAUAUGAUUAAGAUCACGUUUCUGCAAAUGUCAUGGCCCAUCUUUUCCACUUCAUCACCCCCAUCUGACAAGAGAUAAGGAUGCCUCCACCUCAGAGAGCUGUAUGUCAAAAAAAAAAAAAAAAGGUCAUUUUUCCUCUUCAGUCUGGAUCAUAGCACAGAAAAAGAUUGAAAUAUUAGACUCAAUCACAGAAAACAGUAAGAAGAGUUAUCAAAUGGUAUCAUUUUCCUUGUGUGUUCAUGCAAGAUUUCACUUCUUCACAAGUAAGAACUUGGGAACUGUAAGAGUGAUUUGCAGCGAAAGAUGUUUUGUC